ACCCAGGGAGGUCGGGGAAGAGGGUUGCUCGGCCCGGCCGGGGAGGGCUGCGCGGGCGGGAGCGGUGCGCCCCGAGGUGGCGGGCAGUGGGCCGGGCGCAGCGGGGACAGGUCACCGAGAGCCCGGCGCUCCCCUUUCUUUCCUGUGGGGCUGCAGCUCCUUCUUUGUAAGGAAGUGCGUGUGCUGGAAGCGGUGUCUGACGCGGAGUCAGGGGCUUGGGAGGCCAAGAGAGGGGACGAUUGACGAAUUGUGCCGAGGUCCCGGUCGUUUUUGCAGUCCGGAGAGUGUGUGUGCGGCCAGGACUUGAUUCGUUCGACCGGCAGCGACAGGCUCAACAACAACAACAACAGCCGAGUUUGGCACUUCCUUCCCAGUAUAAAUAAUGUACCUAAAAUGGCUGACAUUACAAGCCUAAACCUCUGUUGUUUCCUACUUUCGUUUCUAAGCUGAACAGCACUUGGACUAACUCCAGCAACUAUGUUCUUUAAAAGGAGGGAGUAAAGUGCUGAUAUAGGAGAGAAAAUGGUUGCAGGAUGAGAGCAUGAGAGAAAGUGAAGGCCGACUAACCCAGUAAGUUCUGCGUUACCCAUGGCAAAUGGCUGUUUAGACCCUGGUUCUUACACUUUCUUGUUUUCCCUAUUUGCACAAUCAGGAAUGAAAGGUUUGAUAAUUAAGCUUUUCAUUUGCGGUCAUGGUUUUUGUUUUCGUGUUUUUUGGGGAGUGAGAAGGGACAUAAAAUUCAAGGCUGGCCAUUUUUACUGUAACAAUAGAAUGCUCUCGGGAUUGAGAGCUUGGUUCUCUUUAACCAAAGUGCAUCUUAUUACAUAGUUACAUAAUUUCGUUUUUGCAAAUAUUGGCCAGUGAGACUUUCACAGUCAUUACAUUUUGGUUCUCUAUAAGGUCAUUAAUAUCUCAAGUGAGAGUUUAGUGCUGGGAAAUAAAUGAAUUGCCUCUGUGCAUCCCAAUGCCAUGGCAGGACCUCCUGUGUACACGUACAUCCCUGACAGGAGACUGCUGUUGCAUAUUGGGUGUGCAAGGUUACAUAUUGUACAGUUGAAGGACAGUUUACCUGCCGGGAUUGUAGUCUUCCCAACUAGACAGAAACGAGUAUAAUAUACUUGGCAUAAUAAGCCUGUAAGACCUCAUUUAAUUCAACUCUGACACGUAAAAGGUUUGUGAAUGGAAGUAUUUUUUAAGCAGAAAUAUCUCAAAUAUAUUUAUGGUACAGGCCUAUUUAAAUUAAUUUAGAAUUUGACUUACAAGAUUUUUACUAUGCAUUACCAAAGCUUGACUUGCGUGUAAAUGUACAUAGAAAAAUGUACUAAGUAGUCAUUGAGGGAGAUUUUAUUUCUCUUAGUUUUAUCAUAUCAUAACUUAAAUGCCUGGAGUGUCUAUUCAAAAGCCACAUUCUUUUUCCAAAAGGAAACAUAACUUUCUGAAUUACCAUUUUAACUAAAGCGUCUCAAACUGCUUUGUGUAUCACAGUAGCAGUAAAGGGAAGAUCCAGAAAAAAAAAAUUAUAUCUUUUUGGGUUAUCUGUGAAAUCAUCCCCUUAAAUUUUUUGGCAAAUGUGGGAUUUUAUUAGAGCUUAAAGACUAAAGGAAAAUAAAUUAAGGACUUUAGACCAUAAGUGUUGCAGGAUUUGACAAUUCUGAAUUUCUGAAUGAGGUUAUUUUUGCUUAAAUGAUAUAGAAAAUAUUAACACUGGAGCUGUGUUUCACAAUGAAAGUCUUUUACAAAGUAGACAGAUGAAAGUUGAAAAUUGGGAAUUAUAACCCAAGGACAUAAUUUUUGAAAAAUCUCUGCUUAAAUUGUGAUUAUCCCUUUUAAUUAAUACUUACAAUACAUAUUUUUAAUAGCUUUAAGGAAAUCUACAAUACAACCUCAUUUUAUAAGUGUUACCAACAACUGAAUGAACAAGAUUAUUUGAAAUUAUUGCUCAUUUUUUAAGCUGUUUUAUUAGAGAAAAAAUAACUUUUUGCAGUAUUUCUAUAAUUGUACUGUUUGGGGGAAAAAUCAGAUAAGAAUGAACAUAGGCUUUUUAUUCUUUAUAUAUAUAUUUUUUUAUUGCAUUUUAGGUUUUGGGGUACAUGUGAAGAACAUGCAGGAUUGUUGCAUAGGUACAUACAUGGCAAUGUGGUUUGCUGCCUCCAUCCCCAUCACCUAUAUCUGGCAUUUCUUCCCAUGUUAUCCCUCCUGACUUUUUAUUCUUAAACAGAAAAGUUUGAAUCUUGAGUUGUAGAGAGAUGAGAAAGUCACCCUUGUUUUUUAUGGUAGAGGGAUAUUCUAAUUUUUCACUUAAUGUUUUAUCGUUCAUUACUGCUAGUAAGUUACCAGCAAUAAUUUUAUGAUGUAGCACUAAUAGAAAUAUGAAAAAAGAGAAAUAAAUUAUGCACAUAUAUAAUAUCACUUCGAAGUUAAAUAACCCGGACAUUUAUUUGGGAAAGUGUUACUAAGUAUGGUAUUGGAUAUUUUAUACUUUGAAAUUUUGAAAUAUUUGCAUAAAGCAUUUUUUGGCAUAGUUGAAUUUCAUACUUUAAAAAACAGGUUUGGUGGAUGUUUGUAUUUCUUUUAAUGUUUAACUUUAAGGCUCAAAUUAUUGUUAUUAUUUUUAGUGAAAGCAAGUUUAUUAAGAAAGUAAAGGAAGAAAAGAAUGGCUACUCCAUAGGCAGAGCAGCCAAGGCUCAAAUUAUUUUUAAAAAUUGUUUGUUUUCAGAAUGAGUUAAGGAUAAAGCUUAAAUCUUAACUAUUUUCUCUGCUUAUAUAUGAUUAUGUUUUAAAUCAUUUCAUAUAAAAAUUUUAAAAAAUGUAUUGUCAAUUCAAUCACUUAAAUCUCUGCAGCAUCCAAAAGCAGACUCAUUUUUUAUGCUGGGAAAAAUGAUUUUUGGAAGUCAGUCUAUUAGCUUUGCAUUAUCAGUUUUCAGUUUUCCAUUUUAUGCAACUUUCUCUAAUUCAUUUUUUCCUUGAUUUUAUUUAAUGCUGGGACAUAAAAUUUCCCAUCUUUUAGUUUUACCUAGGGCAGUGCUAGGCAUGUUAAGCAGAGAAGGCAAAUUCAGUGCCUCCUGGGCUGAAGCAGAUGAAUUGAUGAAGCUGGGCUUUUUGCCUAUGAAACAAGUAAAAAUAUUCUUGGUUUUCCUGCUGGGCUCAGUGUUCACACCUGUAAUCCUAGUACUUUGGGAGGCGGAGGCCAGUGGAUAAUCUGAGGUCAGGAGUUUGAGAUAUACCUGGCCCACAUGGCAAAACCCCAUCUCUACUAAAAAUACAAAAAAGUUUAGCUGGGCGUAGUGGCGUGUGCCUGUAAUCCCAGUUUCUCGGGAGGUUGGCAGGAGAAUUGCUUGAACCCAGGAGGUGGAAGUUGCAGUGAGCUGAGAUCACGCCACAGCACUCCAGCCUGGGUGAUAGAGCAAGACUCUGUUUCAAAAAAAAACAAACAAACAUAUUUUUGGUUUUCAGUUUUAAUCAUGAGUCCAGUGUUGCUUGAUCCUCUAGUUUUCAAAGGGAAGUACUUCUAUUUUAAUUCAUAAAAGAAUUUUAGUCCAGAACACUUAAGGCAUCGGCCACUGUUUUGUAAUCUUCUUUAAAGUGGAAAGCAGAAAUGGCAAAUUAUAGCCUAUGUCUUCAAAUAGUACCUGCCUCCUGUUUUUCUCUAGCCCAUGGGGUAAGAAUGAUUUAAUAUUUUUGAGAAAAAUAUCAAUGGAAUAUUUGUCCUUUUUGCCCAGUAUCCUCACUGAAUUGGUGGGGAGGGGCUGCUACUGUACAGGAAGCAGUAUUGUGUAGUGAUUGAGAAUUCAGGCUACACAGUCAUUCUUUAAGGUUUAAAUUUUGUCUCUACCACUUACUGUGAUACUUUGGGUAAAUUACUUUAGUUCUCUGUGUCUCAGCUUCUUCAUCAGCAAAAUGGGGCAAAUAAUCUGUAACAGCAAUAGCACAAUACCUGGAACAGAGUUAAAAAUCAGUAGAUUUCAGGUACUAUUAUUAAAGUCAGAGUUUUCUCCUCGUCAUUCUUGUUUUGUAAUAUUGCUUCUUAUAUUGCUGUUGCUGCUUAUCCCUACCUCACAUGUCAAUAACAAUAUUGUUGGUACUUUUUUUCCCAGCAAAGUAUUCUGGUAAAGAUUCAUUCCUGCAAUAUAAAAACUCUUAGAAUUCAGUAGCUAUACUCAUUUUCAUUUAAAAGUGUUAUUUAUUCAUUACAUAAUAGGUGUUAAUAGAAUUUGAGUUUUAUCAAAGUAAUGCUGAAUUUUAAUAUGCAAAUACAUAGUCCUGCCCUAUGUCAGAAGAACACACUUUUUAAAAAUUGUAGCAUCAUUGUAUACAGUAAAAUGCAUAGAUCUUGAGUGUAUAGUUAGAUAAUUUUAAGUGUAUAUAUCUAAGCUCUAACUCCCAAUCAAGCUCGAACAUUGUCAUCCACUCAGAAAGUUAUCUCAUGUCCUUUUACAAUUUGUUCUCUUUAGAGGUAACCACAAUUCUAAUUUCUCUCCCCAUAGAUUAAUUCAAAGCAAUCACAUUCACUCAUUAGCUUCUUCUGGUCUUUUAUUACCAUGGUGACCACUAGACCCUCUUCUGUCUUUAUGCAAUUUAGAAAAAAUUGCCCUCUCUGGUGUUUUGGAGGAUAGAGCAUGAGCUAGAUUCUAGCCCUACUGAUCCCAUUGUUCUGGUGUCCUUGUACUGUAAACAACCAGCCCAACCAUAGGUGGUGAUGAUCUUAACUCCAUGUUUCUCUUUUUUUGGUGGGGGUUGGGGGUGGUUCAGGGGAGAACCAGAGUCUGGCUCAUUUGAGUGUAAUGGUGUAAUCUUGGCUCACUGCAACCUCUGCCUCCUAAGUUCAAAUGAUUCUCCUGCCUCAGACUCUCAGGUCGCUGGGAUUACAGGUGCCCGCCACCACUCCUGGCUAAUUUUUGUAUUUUUAGUAGAGACAGGGAUUCACCAUGUUGACCAGACUGGUCUCGAACUCCUGACCUCAACAAGACAACUGGAUUUUCCUGUCAGCUUCUGCAUUCAGUCUGUUGUGACAUGGUGCUUAGCUUCUGGAAAAUUGCACUGUACAAUUUUUAUUGUAUAUGAACAUUGCAAGAGAAUGAAAGUGAAAAAGGCAAUUUUAUUAUGUAGUUUAUUAAACUAACACAGGCUUAGUUUUCUUAUGAAAAAAGUUUGAUCUUAUGGACUCCCCGAAAGGGUGUGUUCCUGGACCACAUUUGGAGAACCUCUACUCUUAAUACUUGCUUAUACUUCUGUUUCAUGGUUCGUUUUCAUUUGUUUAUUUUUUGCAGUUUUAGAUAAUACCUAUUGGUAAUAUCUACAUGGAAGGUGAAUAUUUAGUUUUUUCUGUCUAUUUACAUACUGUACACAUCUUCUGUUUUAGUGGUUUCUGGUUAAAUUGAUAUUUUGUGUUUUUUUGUUAUAAUUAACAUAUACAUUAUUUACAUUUGAGUAUUGUAGUGUACUUUUACUUCCUUUCUUGUAAAACAACUUAUUUUCCCUGGAUUUCAUCAUGCUUCUUGGGGCAGGGGAGAGGGUUCCUUAAUUUUCUGUAUAUUUAUUGCUAAUUCAGACUCUGACAGCAGUGUAAUUGUCUUUCUGUAUCUUCAGACUCACCAGGUAACUUACCAAGUUUUUCUUUCUUCUUUUUUUGAUGAUUUUUUGCCCAUCAUUCUUUAGUUUUCUAGUCCAGACUGGUUGCACCCUAGGUGUGUUGCCAUACAAAUGUCAUGAGAGUCAUAAUCAUCUUGGAAGAAUUGCUUUUGUCUUCAUCACUUGCUAGAUCUGCAGUUUUAUAAAUCUGAAGAAAAAGUUUGUUAAAUUUUUAAAAAAUCAUAUGUGUCUGAGAAUUAUUAUUUCAUCUUCAUAUUGAUAAUUUAUCUGGGUGUAAAAUUCUAGGUUAGCAUUCAGCACUUUGAUGGCAGUGCUCCAUUAUCUUCUAAUGUGAUACCAUUCUGAUUCUGCAUUUGUGCAUGACGGUUUUUCCCCUCUUUAGUUGUCUACACGUUGGAGAUUUUCUCCUUAUACCUUGAUUUUUUUUUCUUUUAUGUUUUCAGCUUUCAGAAUUUUUAUUGACAUGACUUGCCUGCUGUCAUUCAUUUUAAUUCUCUGUGGCUUAAGGUUUAUUUGUUUUAUCCUUUUACUUUCACUUUAUUGAACUUUCAGGAGGAAGUAAACAAACAUUUAACUGGAAAUCAAUAUUAGAACUUCAACUCAGCUAUCCUGAUAGCUUUUUAAAGAAUUGUUAGAAUAUUUCCUUUUACAUUAAAAAUGGACUUACUGAUAAUUAAAAAUGGAUAAUAAUGGAAAUCGUCUGAAUUACUAUUAGCACUAAUUUAAGAUCAGACAGGGUAGUCUAGAAAGAUUGAUGAGGCACAUCCUCUAAUCUUCCUCUUCAAAGUUUCAAGAUUGUCUCCUUCAUGAGGAAUAUAAGAGGCAACUCAUUACCAACUUUGUAGUUUUGCUUUGUGGCAUUAUUACUCCAACUAACUUUAUAAAAGUUUCAUUUUUGUAAUUAAUAUUUUGCCUUUUACAUUUAUGUUGAAAUGCUUACAUGCCCGUGUGCCUUAGUUAUUUCCCUUUAUUGUUUUAGGUUCACAUGUAUAUGAUUUUAAUACUUUUGCUACCAUCCUUUGUAAUUUGAUGAACAAUAGAAAAAAGCCCUAUUAAUUUCCCAGUGUAUCAAAAGUAAUAUUAUUUCCUUUAUAAUAGUUAACAUAUGUAGGGCUUAUUAGUGUGGGUCAAUUUAAGUAAACCUUUUACAACAGCAGAAAUUCACGCUGUGGGCCAGGCAUGGUGGCUCAUAAUUCCAGCACUUUGGGAAGCUGAGACAGGAGAAUUGCUUGAGACCAGCCUGGGCAACAUGGUAAGACCCCCACCUCCACAAAAAAAUUAAAAAAUUAGCCAGGUGUGGUAGUGUACAUCUGUAGUUCCAGCUACUCUGGAAGCUGAGACGGGAGGAUCACUUGAGCCCAGAAGGUUGAGGCUGCAGUGAGCCAUGAUUGCACUAUUAUACUCUAGCUGGUUUAACUGGUGACAGAGCAAUAUCCUGUUUCAAAAAAAAAAUUAAUUAAAAUAUAUAUUUAAUAAAAUAAAAAUAAUAACAAAUUUGGCCUAUGUGGUUUCUGGUUAGAAAAGAGUGUUAUCCAAAUGUGACAUGGUAUCUGUCACUUCAUUUAUUACCAGAGUUAAUUUGUCUAAGCUGUUUAGUCCAUUUCCUUAAGAAGCACUUGGGGUCAAGAUAAUAUUCAGGCCUUAUUAGCUCUGUAAUAUUAGGCAAAUACUUCUACUUCUCUGGGCCUCAUAUUUAUCUGUAAAUGAUGUAUUGGAUUAAACUACAUUCAUGAUACUUCCAUAGGGGAUCUGUUUCUGAGAACUGUAUUGAUCAUAUAUUCAGAAGCACCUACUGCAUAGCCAGGUACCAUACCUGGAAUUUAAAAAUUGCUAAGCACCUCAACUUUCAAGAAACAUUGUGUAGCUAGGAAAGACCAACAAUCAGCUACGAAAAACAGAUUAGUCAAAACCUAUUUAAAUGCCUGUAUUUUAUCUUUCAAGGAAAUCACACCCCUGGAUCCAAGAGCCAGGAGAAUGGUGGAAUAAGGGAGCAACAUUAAAUAUUACCACUGAGUUUUAACUACACAUGCAUUCAGUGCUAGGCAGUAGAGCUCAUAGGGUCAAAGCACUUCUUGUAUGUAGAGACAAAUAUUCCUGAUCUCAAGAACUAGAAUUAUUUUUUCUAGUAGUCAUCUUAACAUUUAAAAUUCCAAACUUGGACAGAAAUUUUCUCUUAACUGUCCACAUUUAAACUAUAUUGUACUUUCAGACAAAUAUAGUUGGAAUUUUCUUACUGGAAGUUCUGCAUUUUAAAUGAAAUUACCCAUAUUUGAAUAUGAAUGUGUAGUAAUUAUCUUGUUGAAAGACAUUAAAAGCCAGCAUUUGUGUAAAAGUGAGUCUAGAUAAGAUUUGUUCUUUUUUUUUCUAUAACCUUGACACUAAAUUUUGUAAUGAAUUAUAUAAAAUUAGAGCAUUUGUAUUGUGCUUAAAAUUUUUAGGGAAACAGUUGAUAUUGGUAACAAUGUGGACUUGAGUUUUAUUCAGCCAAUGGUAGAGAAAAAUCUGUCUUUACCAAUUUAUCCAUCCCUGGUAAAGGAUAUUACUAAUAAUAACAUUUGUAUAUAAUGCUAUUGUUUACAAACAUUUGCCUGGUUGUGCUAGUCUAGGCUUUUUACUAUCCCAGUGCCUUUCACUCACCAAUAUGAAUUGGAAAUUCUGCUAAAAUUUCACUUAAAAAAAGGGUUACAGUUCUGUUGAGCGUAGACUGAAUAAACACUGUAUAGAAAUGAUGGUCAUCUUUUAAACUAUAUAGAAAAAAGAAUAGGGGAUUUUAAACUUAUAAAUAUAUUUUAAUAUUCUACUUUGCACUAGAUACUCUGCUUGUCUCUGCUACAGAAGUGAUUAAAUUAUGAUCCAGCUCCAAAUGCAUUGCAUUGACAGUCUGCCUGGUUUUUUUUUUUUUUUUCAGUUCCAACCUAUUUUUAUUUAACCUAGGACUGUGCUAAUUUUAUGUGAUGCUAAUAAUUUGGUUCAACUUUCGUAGAUUUCUCACAAUAGUUACAUUAUUAUGCAAUGGCUUUACAUUUUAAAUUUGUUUUUUUAUUCUGUAUUGCUUCUCUUAUAUUGCAGGUUUUGUUAACAAAAAAUUAGUGAGAAAUUUGUUUUGUAGACCUUUUAGUUUGAGAUUAAGUUCUCCUUUUUAAAGCUUUCUCUUGUUCUAAUUCCAGUACAGAAUAGUGCCAUAACUUUAUUAAUCAUAACAUGUCGGUAUAAGUCCCAGUUUUGACUCUAAACACUAAUUUAACUUAAUGAAAUCUAAUGUUGACAAAAGGUCAGAGGCCUUUGUGAUACAUAUCAUAGUACCUACAACUAUAAAGAGCAGCUUUCUGUGUAAUGCCAGCUAUUUGGAAAACUGCUUCCUUUUUAUGUUUCAAACAUAACAUUUAUUAUAUAGACUUCUUCACUAUGGUUGAGACAGUAGCAAUCUCAUUUCAAAAGGCAAAUUAUAAAGUCGAAUUCAGAUACUGAUUUAAGUGAAUAAGAAAAAAGGCAAAGAAAUGCUUCAUGUCCUCAUGGAUUGUUAACUUAUCAGCCAGAGAUUUUGUGUUUUACGUAUAGCAGAUAUAUUUGGUAAUCAAUGCAAUUAAUAAUUAGCAGAUCACCAGAGCAUGUCCUUUUGAUGCUUCCAUACUGAGGAAAGAAACCUAAUGUGGAAACCAAGUGAAUAUGUACCAGUCUACAAAACCCAGAACUUGAAACCCUUUAUGUGGGGAAGUAGUUUAGAUUGCUUAUUUAAUGUAAAUAGGAUUUCAGAAGGAAGUAUACCCAGUCAUAACUGGAAAUGAAGAUCAGGGUUCAAAACCUAGAAACAUGAUAGGAAAGAACUAGGUAUAUUUGGUCUCUAAGUAGGGAGGAAAAAAAAGGUGAGAGAGGAGUUGAAAAUACUAGAAUAUUGAUGGGAAAUCUAGCUUUUAAAAGUGCGAAUCACUGAAUUCUUUUAAUGUCCCAGCUGUUUCUGUUUUGGAAAGUAUUAUACCAGCCAAACAACACAUCUCUGGGCAGCUGGCCUAUGCACCUCCAUAUUUACCUAUGUUACCCAGCAUGUUUCUAAGUAACUAAAUCUGUUUCUGAAGGUUCAGUAUAUUUUGAGUUGAAUAAAUUGUUUCUACAUAUAUGUUUUUUGAUAACAUAAUUUUUAACCCUAAGACAUGUUUUCCUCUUUAGUAUCCUGGUUCCUAAAGCAUUGUUGUUGCAUUUGAUAUAGAGAUGUAAAAUAGUAUAUCUGAGCACUUUGAAAAAUAUAUCUUAAAAGCUUUAGUCAUCCUGUAAAAAAGGUCCAAAUAGAAAAAUGCCUAAGAAUGUGAAGUGAUUUGUUAGUUUGAGAACAGAAUUACAAUUAUAUGAAAAAAUAUACAUUUUAUUUAAGUUUAUAAUUGAAGCACAUUUACCAAAGCCUCUUAGAGAACUGAUUGAGGUGACCUAAUUCUUAACUAAUUGAAGUGCUAGAAAAGAAUUUGUCCUUCAUUUUGUUUAAGAUAUAACUUUUUUUUUUCUUUUUUUUGAGACGGAGUUUCGCUGUUGUUACCCAGGCUGGAGUGCAGUGGUGCGAUCUCGGCUCACUGCAACCUCCGCCUCCUGGGUUCAGGCAAUUCUCCUGCCUCAGCCUCCUGAGUUGGCUGGGAUUACAGGCACGUGCCACCACGCCCAGCUAAUUUUUUGUAUUUUUAGUAGAGACAGGGUUUCCCCAUGUUGACCAAGAUGGUCUCGAUCUCUUGACCUCAUGAUCCACCCGCCUUGGCCUCCCAAAGUGCUGGGAUUACAGGCGUGAGCCACCGCACCCAACAAGAUAUAACUUCUUAAGUAAUUUUAUCAUCUAAUGCUGAGAUUUAUUUGAACCAGAAAUUAGUACUGUGCCAGAGUGAGAGUGCUUCUGAAAGCCAGGUCUUUCUGUAUCUACUGUUGCAAGAUGGUUAUAGGCUAUCAUGUGCUGCAGUGUCUUCAUUAUAAACUGGGCUAAAAAGUUGAGGUUUAGGAAGAUUAAUUAGAUGAUAAUUGUACAGCAGCUGUGGGAGUUCUCUUACCUUUUAAGCACUAUGCAAGGUGCACCAGUUUUAUUGCAGUAGAAGGGAGGAAAUAUCUUAGUGACUUGUUUUAAAUUAGGCCAGGUAAAGUUAUAUACCCCAGUGAGGAAGCUCUUAUUAGUGGUUUUUCUUUUAAUUAUGAAAUAUUUCAAGCACAUAAAAUAUAGAGAACCUGUAGUAUAUUUUAUCUUUUGAAGUCUUAAAUAUCACAUAUAACAAAUAUGUAGUAUUAUAUAUUGUGCAAACUGCCUUUUCUAGGGGAUCAGCAGUUAUAUUUCUUAGGCUUAUCUAAAAUCAACAGGGCUAGUACAUUUCUUUUUUUGUUGUUUUAAUUUUAAUUUUUUUAAUAGAGAUAGGGUAUUACUAUGUUGCCCAGGCUGAUCUCGAACUCCUGAGCUCAAGUAAUCCUCCUGCCUCUGCCUCGCAAAGUGCUGAGAGUAUAGGUUUGAGCCACUAGGUCUGGUCACUGAUUGAAUCUUUUUAGCAGUAUUAUAUGAAUUCAUGAUAAUUUAUUUUGAAUUUUUUUGUUACUGAUAAUGCAUUAUACAUUAUUGGACAUAUUACUUUACAUAUUCAAAAGUUUAUCUAGGAUUUAUACCUAGGAAUGGAAUUGCUAAGUCAUAAGAUUCAUGUAUAUAAGGGGUAUCCAAUCUUUUGGCUUCCCUGGGCCACAUUGGAAGAAUUGUCUUGAGCCACACAUAAAAUACCCUAACACUAACAAUAGCUGAUGAGCUGGAAAAAAAAAUCACAAAAAAAAGUCAUAAUUAUUUAAGAAAGUUUAUGAAUUUAUUUUUUUCCUUUUUUGUUUUUGAGACGGAGUCUUGCUCUGUCACCAAGCUGGAGUACAGUGGCACAAUCUCGGCUCACUGCAACCUCCACCUGUUGGGUUCAAGCGAUUCUCAUGCCUCAGCCUCCCAAGUAGCUGGGAUUACAGGCACAUGCCACCACACCCAACUAAUUUUUGUAUUUUUAGUAGAGACAGGGUUUCACCAUGUUGGCCAGGAUGGUCUCUAUCUCUUGACCUCAUGAUCUACCUGCCUCGACCUGGCAAAGUGCUAGGAUUACAGGUGUGAGCCACUAUACCCAGCUGAAAAUUUAUGAAUUUCUCCUGGGCUACGUUCAGAGCUGCCCUGGACCGCAUGCAGCCCGUGGGCCAUGAGUUACACAAGCGUGACGUAUGUUGAUUAGAUACUGCCAAAUUGUUCUCCAAAGCUAUUGUACCUAAAUUUCUGUCAAUUGAGUAGAAGUUCCCAAGUUCCCUUUGUUACACACUUUUUCUGUUGCUUUGUGUCAGACAUUUUUUUAUUGCCUGGUAGAUAGGAACUCAGUUGAUUUCUUCCCCACCCUCCAUAUCAAAAUAUAAUUUACAUGGAAUAAAACUCAUGUAUUUUAUAGAUGUCAUACAGUGAAUAAUCUUUUGUGCUAAACUUCUUUCAUUUAGCAUGUUUUUGAGAUUCAGUCCUGCUGGUGUGUGUUAUUUUGUUCCUUUUUAUUGCUAUUUCAUGGUAUGAAUAUACCACAAUUCAUUCUUUAGUUGAUGGAUAUUUGGGUUGUUUCUAGUUUGGGGCUAGUAUAUAAAUAAUGAUGCUGUAAAUAUUCAUGUACGAAUUUUUGACUCAGUUGAUUUUUUAUUAUUGAUCUUUAGAAAUCUUGCUAGCCCCUAGUGUGAAUAAUUUGACUUUCUUAGAUUUUCUACAUAGAUUAUUUACAAAUAAUAACAGUUUUGUUUUCUUUUUUCUAAUACCUUUUGUUAUCGUUUGUGUAGUUGGAUCUCUAGAGCAGUGUUGAAUGGAAACAGUCAAUUUUAGUGGGCAUUCUUUUUUUUUUUUUUAAUUCUUUUUAGGUACAAUAGUGGGCAUUCUUAUAUUUCUGAACUAAAAGCGUAUAAUGUAAGUAUAAAGUUUCACCAUUAAGUAUGAGGCUUUCUGGCUUUCAAUUAUUAGCCUUACUAAUGGCUAAAGAAUUUCAUCUUUUGCUAGUUUGUAAAGAUUUUUUUUUUAAUGGAAGUUGAAUUUUGUUAAAUACAUUUUCUGUAUAUUUUAAGAUAGUCAUGGAGGUUUUUUUUCCCUUUAAUCUUACUUGGCUUUUUCUUUAAGUAAAGCUUACUCUUUGAAGUGUUAAAAUUUAAUCACUCUAAAAAUACUUUUAAUCUCUUAGAUUAACGACUUUUUAAUCUUGAGCAUACUUUAAUACCUUCUCUAUGACUCGGAUUGUAUUAUGGAACAUCAUUUAUCUAUCAUACAUGAUGUUAGUUCUUGACUAUAAAAUGCUCAAGAUAUGAGCCAUAUCUUAAUCAUGUUUGAAUUUUCUACAGUAUCUAGCACAGUAUACUGCAAAUAGCAGGCCUUAAUAAAUGCUGAACUAGGCUACUGCUCUUGCUAAAUAGCCAGUUUGUUUUACGUCAUAAUUAGGUUGCAUUUCUCCCUUCCCUCAUUAUGCUGGCUGCUGAUAUAACUUUUAUGAAUCAUAAAAAAGUUAAUAGCCAAGCUUUUAAAAAUAUAUAUAUCUAAGUUUUAGUCAUUCAUCAAAUUUGUGAGCACCAACUAAUGCCAAGCUUGGCUUGAAGCUGCCAGUAAUGCAAAAUGAACAUGAAUAGAUACUCAAAAGAAUCUUAGAGCCUAGCAGAGAGAGAUAAGAUCUUUAUGUGAAUUAUUCUAAUGAAAGAAAAGUGAUCGCUAGAAAUCUAGAGAAAAAAGAUUAGAUAGGCUUUGGAGAUUUAACAGCUCUUUCAUAUGAUGAUGGUGCAUGAGUGUGGGGUCUAUAAUUUGGCUGACCAAAGAAUCUUGUUUAUUUCCUGAUUCUUAAGCCACAUUUCACAUUGUUGAGGUGCUGAAUAAAUUGACCUGUGGAUAAGUGAAGUAUUUUGUAAGUGAAAUGCCCCAAGAAAUUGAAUUUUUAAAAACUUACAAUAGUGCCUCGAAGUGAUUUUUGAAUGAACAUGAGAAGUCAAACUCUGUAGCAUGGUUUACAAAGGUCUUUUGUGACCUGCCCCAAUUUCUUGUUCAUCAUCUCUCUUACCCUUGUCCACAUAUUGGAUACUCCAGCCAAACCACAUGUGGCCCUUGGAAAUGUCAUGCAUUCUAGCUACAUAACUUUUAAAAAAUCUUUGCCAUAUAUAUAAUUUCCUUUAACUCUUGUCUUCUGCUGAAAUAAUGAGUAUUUGUCCUUUAACAUUCCACUUAAGUACUUUCUCCCCUGGGAAGUCUUCUUGAAACUCAUCCCCUCUUAAGUGUUCUCUGUGCAUUUUACUAUUAGAGCCUGUAUCAUUUUUAUUUCCUUUUUUAUAUUUAUCUGUUUUCCAGACUGAUCCAACUGGUCUCUUUCUUGGUGGAGGAUAUCUUUCCAGUGCCUAGCACAGCUCUUGGCACAUAGUAGACAUUUAUAAUUUACUCUCAAAAUGAUCAUUGAACAGUUAAAAAUGAUAUAUGACAGUGCCUUGAAACUUGUCGUCAAUUAGCCGGUUGGGGCUGCAUAUUCGUUUACAGAUGUCUGCCUGUGCUGUUUGGCUAUUCAGUUAUGUAUUAUUGGAAGAGAAAGCCUGCCAAAUGGGGUGGGUGUGUGUGCACAUUUGGCUGUCUCAGCAGCUGAUACCAAAUGUUGGAAAUAACUAUUUCCAUCUGCCAUUUUCGUCUCCCCCCACUCUCCCUCCACCCUAAAAUUAUGUUAGGAGGUUUCUUACCUCCUUAGAUAUUUAUGUCAGACAAGGGCUCAAGCAAAAGAUGUAUACUUUAUCAUUAAAGUUUCAUAAUACCUUA